CUAUAUUCUGGCUUAGAAUGUUGUUAUACUACAGAGGUUAAUAGACUACCAAUAAGGCUUUCUUCCCGCCCCCCCCCUUGUUUGUUUUGUUCUUCUUUGCUAAAAACCACUCUCACUGGCAAGAAUAUAGGCAACAUUUACACCUCCCUCUUAACAGCAGAGGGGAAAGGGACCUGCUAACCUUUCUAAGGAGCCUAGGGCAGUGUUGUGCUUCUCAAUGGAAAGGUCUUCUCGAAUUAAUUAAAGUCACUUUCCCCGCUGAGGACCAGCUUUGCUUUGAAGGGGCAUCAGAACACUGAGGACUCUCACUCUUCCUGCUCCAGAGGAAGAGGGCUAUAAACGCUUGAAAAAACACAGUUGGGAGAAUAAUUGGAAGUGAAUUCGAUGUCUUCAUCCUCUGAGGAUGCGAGUGCAUGUGCCUGCUGGAAAUUACUCUUUCACAAAAUGUGUAUGUCUCUGGAUUUGAGCUUCCCUGGGCUGUGGAGCUGACCCUAACCUCUUUUGAAGUCUCUGAUCACCCUGGAUCUGAUCAGAUGCGCCAGAGUGAAUUGGGUAAGAAAGAAGACAAGAGGUCAUUAACUGCUCAGUUUCAGACCAUUUUCAGCGAGUCACAAGGAUCGCCAAAGGAGUUCCAACUCUCCAUUCAUAGCAACCAUAUUCUGUAAUAAAAGAUCAAAUGCUUCUGGUUACUGGACUGAAAAGAAUCAAAUUCUCCCAACUUUUUAGCACUUCAUGUUCCUUGGGUAUCUGCUGUCAGCUGUAGCUCAUUGAGUUGCCUGAUUCACCGAGGACUAUAAACUGCCACCCAAGCAAAGAGCUUCUGAUAUUAAAAAAAAAAAAAAAAGAUUUCCCUUUGAAUGUAUGCAUGUUCUUUGCCUGCGUGUGCGUGUGUGUGUGUG
rnacentral:lncRNA from 1 species